CUACGGGAGGCUGCAGUGGGGAAUAUUGCACAAUGGGCGCAAGCCUGAUGCAGCCAUGCCGCGUGUAUGAAGAAGGCCUUCGGGUUGUAAAGUACUUUCAGCGGGGAGGAAGGGAGUAAAGUUAAUACCUUUGCUCAUUGACGUUACCCGCAGAAGAAGCACCGGCGAACUCCGUGCCAGCAGCCGCGGUAAUACGUAGGGUGCAAGCGUUAAUCGGAAUUACUGGGCGUAAAGCGCACGCAGGCGGUUUGUUAAGUCAGAUGUGAAAUCCCCGGGCUCAACCUGGGAACUGCAUCUGAUACUGGCAAGCUUGAGUCUCGUAGAGGGGGGUAGAAUUCCAGGUGUAGCGGUGAAAUGCGUAGAGAUCUGGAGGAAUACCGGUGGCGAAGGCGGCCCCCUGGACGAAGACUGACGCUCAGGUGCGAAAGCGUGGGGAGCAAACAGGAUUAGAUACCCCAGUAGUC
rnacentral:rRNA from 1 species